rnacentral:rRNA from 1 species
UACAGAGGUCUCAAGCGUUGUUCGGAUUCAUUGGGCGUAAAGGGUGCGUAGGUGGCGGGGUAAGUCAGGUGUGAAAUCUCGGGGCUCAACCCCGAAACUGCACUUGAUACUGCCUUGCUCGAGUACUGGAGAGGAGAUUGGAAUUUACGGUGUAGCAGUGAAAUGCGUAGAUAUCGUAAGGAAGACCAGUGGCGAAGGCGAAUCUCUGGACAGUUACUGACGCUGAGAAGCGAAAGCCAGGGGAGCAAACGGG